rnacentral:rRNA from 1 species
UUGCUGUGUAAGUCCAUUGGGAAAUCGACCAGCUCAACUGGUCGGCGUCCGGUGGAAACUACACAGCUUGGGGCCGAGAGACUCAACGGGUACGUCCGGGGUAGGAGUGAAAUCCCGUAAUCCUGGACGGACCACCGAUGGCGAAAGCACCUUGGAAGGACGGAUCCGACAGUGAGGGACGAAAGCUAGGGUCUCGAACCGGAUUAGAUACCCGGGUAGUCCUAGCCGUAAACGAUGCUCGCUAGGUGUGGCGCAGGCUACGAGCCUGCGCUGUGCCGUAGGGAAGCCGUGAAGCGAGCCGCCUGGGAAGUACGUCUGCAAGGAUGAAACUUAAAGGAAUUGGCGGGGGAGCACUACAACCGGAGGAGCCUGCGGUUUAAUUGGACUCAACGCCGGACAUCUCACCAGCUCCGACAGCAGUAAUGACGGUCAGGUUGAUGACCUUACCCGACGCUGCUGAGAGGAGGUGCAUGGCCGCCGUCAGCUCGUACCGUGAGGCGUCCUGUUAAGUCAGGCAACGAGCGAGACCCGCACCUCUAGUUGCCAGCAGCAUCUUGCGAUGGCUGGGUACACUAGGGGGACUGCCGUCGCUAAGACGGAGGAAGGAACGGGCAACGGUAGGUCAGUAUGCCCCGAAUGAGCUGGGCUACACGCGGGCUACAAUGGUCGAGACAGUGGGAUGCGACACCGAGAGGUGGAGCUAAUCUCCUAAACUCGAUCGUAGUUCGGAUUGCGGGCUGAAACCCGCCCG